GGGAAUGUGGGUAGCCUUACUGACACCUGGAUGGGAUAUCUUACAAGUGGCUGCAACCUGAUUUACCUGUGAUGCUGAAGUUAUAGUUUGAAACACCCAAACCUGGGAUAUGGUAUGAGGUGAUGGUGGUACAGGAAGGCAGGAAACAGCCAAGAGUUGUCACAACAGAAAAUGGUUUCAACAUGGAGGAAAGCACUCUGCUAAAUUCAAGAGUCUGUACACAAAAAAUAUAAAAUUUCCCUCUGAUUUGUACCAACAUAUCAAAGUGAACACAAAAGUGCAUUAUUUUUAUAGCAAAUUCAUGUGAGUUGUGUUUAUGUGGAAUAUGGUGGAAAAAGCUAAGUGUUGUAGAAAAAGAAUGACAACAGUUAAACAGCAUACUGUACUCCACAAAGUGUACACCAGUUAUGGUGACAAAUACUGUACAGUUAUGUGUAACAAUCAAUAAACAUCAGGUUGUAGACACCUGUACGUGUGGGGCCCAAAGUGUGUGUGUGUGUGAGUAGCACGACUACCCACUGAUGCUGUGAACCAUCACUACGAGAAGUCAUGGUAAUUAGCAAAA